GGAGGGAUAUGGCUCAUUGAUAGGGCAUCUGCUUUGCAUGCAGAAGGGCCCAGGUUCAAUCCCUCAUGACUCCA
rnacentral:tRNA from 1 species